rnacentral:rRNA from 1 species
UACGGAGGGUGCGAGCGUUGUCCGGAAUCAUUGGGCGUAAAGGGCGCGUAGGUGGCCCGGUCAGUCUUUGGUGAAAGCGCGGGGCUCAACCCUGCGUCGGCCAGGGAUACUGCCGCGGCUCGAGCACUGUAGAGGCAGGCGGAAUUCCGGGUGUAGCGGUGGAAUGCGUAGAGAUCCGGAAGAACACCGAUGGCGAAGGCGGCCUGCUGGGCAGUUUAGCUGACACUGAGGCGCGACAGCGUGGGGAGCAAACAGG